CGCCGCCAGAGAGUCACUUGCCAUGGCUUCCGGCCCAAGGGGGAAGGGGAAGUGAUGCCAGGGCGAUGAUUAAAUCAGUUAAGAGCCAUUGGCCAUUGCAGCCGCAGUCCGUUCUCCUAACCACUCUCACCUUCACACCCAGAAAAUCGAAACAAAAAGACAGCAAAGGCUCUCUCGGGCUUCCGCUUUUCGCCGUCGGGUGUUGUUGCGCAUUCUGUGUUUUGCUCUCAACGUUUAUUUUGGCCUUCUUUUUCUGGCCAAAUGAUUUAAUUUCAUGCAUUUCGCUUUGCGGCUCUGGCGAUGCUUAUUAGUUGCAAUUUGCCAGCUGCGGCCAGAGUUAGUUCGUGCCGAAAGCCCACAACGAGCCCCACACCAAAGCAAAUAAAUUAAAUAAUCGGAAUAAUUGCUAUCCCAAGAAGUUGAUAGUCGCAGGAUGGGUAAAAAUAAGGGUGGCGGUGGCGGCGGAGGAGGAGGAGGAGGCGGCGGCGGAGGGGGUGGCGGCAAUGUAAGCAAUAUUUGUGUUAUGCAACUAGCGUACUAACUAAAAAAGGAGGUGGCGGCGCAGGAGCUGCUGCUGGAGCCGGGGCGGGAAAUAAAAACAAAGGAGGCGGUGGUGGUGACAAAGGUGGAGCCAAGAAAGGACCAGAGCCAAAGGCAGCCGCAGGCGGUGGCAAGAAAGGAGGCAAGAAAUAGCAACGGUGGCAAACAUCAAAGCGCAUUAAAAAUUACAAAUUUAGAAUUAAGCUGAAAUUAAACGUGGUAUCGGGGAAUAUGUAUCUGUAAUAUAUAUAUAUGUGACUCAA